rnacentral:rRNA from 1 species
UACGUAGGGUGCAAGCGUUGUCCGGAAUUAUUGGGCGUAAAGCGCGCGUAGGUGGCUUCGUAAGUCCGUUGUGAAAGUCAAAGGCUCAACCUUUGAAAGCCGAUGGAUACUGCGGAGCUAGAGUACGGAAGAGGCGAGUGGAAUUCCUGGUGUAGCGGUGGAAUGCGCAGAUAUCAGGAGGAACACCAAUAGCGAAGGCAGCUCGCUGGGACGUUACUGACACUGAGGCGCGAAAGCGUGGGGAGCGAACAGG